rnacentral:rRNA from 1 species
UACGAGGGGGGCAAGCGUUGUUCGGAAUUAUUGGGCGUAAAGGGUGCGUAGGCGGUCUGACAAGUCUGAUGUGAAAUCUAUGGGCUCAACCCAUAGUCUGCAUCGGAAACUGUCGGGCUUGAGUAUGGGAGAGGUGAGUGGAAUUUCCGGUGGAGCGGUGAAAUGCGUAGAGAUCGGAAAGAACACCAACGGCGAAAGCACUCUGCUGGGCCGACACUGACACUGAGAGACGAAAGCUAGGGGAGCGAAUGGG